rnacentral:rRNA from 1 species
UUGGAGGGCAAGUCUGGUGCCAGCAGCCGCGGUAAUUCCAGCUCCAAUAGCGUAUAUUAAAGUUGUUGCAGUUAAAAAGCUCGUAGUUGAAUUUCGGGGUCAGUAGGUUGGUCGUGCCUAUGGUAUGUACUGGCUUUACUGAUUCCUCCUUCUUGAAGAACUGUAAUGUCAUUAAUUUGGUGUUGCAGGGAAACAGGACUGUUACUUUGAAAAAAUUAGAGUGUUUAAAGCAGGCUAACGCUUGAAUACAUUAGCAUGGAAUAAUGAAAUAGGACGUUCGAUCCUAUUUUGUUGGUUUCUAGGAUUGACGUAAUGAUUAAUAGGGAUAGCUGGGGGCAUUAGUAUUCAAUUGUCAGAGGUGAAAUUCUUGGAUUUAUUGAAGACUAACUACUGCGAAAGCAUUUGCCAAGGAUGUUUUCAUUAAUCAAGAACGAAAGUUAGGGGAUCGAAGACGAUCAGAUACCGUCGUAGUCUUAACCAUAAACUAUGUCGACUAGGGAUCGGAUGAUGUUAAUUUUUUAAUGACUCGUUCGGCGCCUUACGGGAAAC